rnacentral:sRNA from 1 species
CGAGCAUUUCCCAUUGGCUGAUUGUUUCACACGAAAAUGGCCGUCUUUCAAUUCAUUCUCUACCAGAAAUGGAAGUAGUUUAUCAAAUUGGCCGUUUCUCGAAUGUUCCAGAACUUCUCGUUGAUUUAACUGUUGAAGAAGAGGAAAAAGAGCGGAAGGCGAAGGCUCAGCAGGCGGCAAAAGAGGCCUCUGUGCCUACAGAUGAAGCCGAACAGCUGAAUACGGAAAUGAAACAGUUGUGCGAACGCGUUUUAGAGGCGCAGAUUGUUGGUUAGUACGCCGGCCGGAAAACUGGAGAGAAAACGGGAAAAAUUGAUUUUAAAAUCGUGAAAAAUCAUGAAAAAUCGAUUCCGCGCGCUGAAAAUUGAAUUUUUCACAUUGAAUUUUUCGCAUAGUACAAAUGCGCUCUAAUGAUAAAACUAAAAAAUAAAGCGAAAAUUCAAAUUUUCGGUUUCCCGUAUGCUGCAACUGCGCUCCACCACCGCAAAAUUACGUCGAACUCGUAAGAAACAACCGCCGAAUUUUCACUCAAAAAUUUAAAUUUUUCACACCGACCGUAGGCUUCGGUAAGUGCGCUCUAAUGAGAAAACAACACGAUUUUAAGCCGAAAUUUGAAUUUUUGCAUCAAAAGAAUUCGGUUUUUACAAGCGAGAAAUCUGGAAUUUUCACUCAAAAAUUUGAAUUUUUAACCACGACCAAGCGACUGCUUCAAGUGCGCUCCAAUAAGAAAACACCGAAUUUUAGGCGGAAAUUUAAAUUUUUGGUUUAAAAAUUAAGUUUUUUUUACAAUUUUCAAGCCAGAAAUUUGAAAUUUUAACAUUUUUUCUAAUUUUUUGCGGAGAAAUUUACUUUAAAACCGUGAAAAAUUCUGAAAAACCGCCGAAAAUUGAUGAUAAAUCGAGAAAAUUCGUCAAUUUUUUUUCCGAAUAACCGGGAAAAUCAAAAACUUGCAAAUUUCGCAAAUUUGUUUUUUACAUUUGAAUUUUUCACACCGACCGUAUGCUACAAAAGUGCGCUCCAAGGAGAAAACAGUGAAUUUUGGGCGGAAAUUUGAAUUUUUACUUAAAAAAUAGGUUUUUAUGCCAUUUUCAAGCGAUUUUUCCUGAAUUUUUGCGGAAAAAUUGAUUUUUUGCAGCGUAAAAACAAGAAAAUUUGCCUAAUUUUGACCUAGAACCUUUUUUUACUAAAAAAUUUGAAUUUUUCACACCGACCGUAGAAAAUUUGAAUUUUUGCUUCGAAAAUUGGUUAUUGUACGAUUUUCAAGCGAGAAAUAUGGAAUUUCAGCCUUUUUUCUGAAUUUUUUGCGGAAAAUUUGACUUUAAAACCGUGAAAAAUUCUGAAAAAUCGAGAAAACCGGAAAAAUCCAUGAAAAACUUGCAAAUUUUGCAAAUUUUUUAAAAUUUCAAUUUUUCACCGACCGUUCGCUAGUGCGCUCUAAUGAGAAACAGCGAAUUUUAGGCGAAAAUUUGAAUUUUUAUUUAAAAAUUUGGUUUUUAUACGAUUUUCAAGCCAGAAAUCUGGAAUUUAGUCGAUUUUUCUGAAUUUUUACUCAAAAAUGUGAAUUUUUACUCAAAAAUUUGAAUUUUUCACAGCGACCGUAGGCUUCAAGUGCGCUCCAAUGAGAAAAUAACAAAUUUUAGGCGGAAAUUUGAAUUUUUGCGGAAAAAUUCGAUUUUUCCGUCUUAAAAUUGCUUUUUUUUUCAGGAAUGGGAAUCAACCAGGCCCAUCCGAUUCUGAUGGCAAUUGUCGACGAGCAAGUAGUCCUGUAUGAGAUGUUCUCGAGCUCAAAUCCGAUUCCUGGACACCUUGGAAUUUCUUUCCGAAAGCUUCCACACUUUAUUUGCCUCCGAACAUCGUCUCAUUUGAAUUCCGACGGAAAACGGGCUCCGG